rnacentral:hammerhead_ribozyme from 1 species
AUGCUGCUGAAGAGUCCCAAACUAGGACGAAACAGCUGUCCAGUAC